UACGGGGGGGGCAAGCGUUGUUCGGAAUUACUGGGCGUAAAGGGCGCGUAGGCGGCCUUCUAAGUCAGACGUGAAAUCCCUCGGCUCAACCGAGGAACUGCGUCUGAUACUGGAAGGCUUGAAUCCGGGAGAGGGAUGUGGAAUUCCAGGUGUAGCGGUGAAAUGCGUAGAUAUCCGGAGGAACACCGGUGGCGAAGGCGGCUUCCUGGACCGACACUGACGCUGAGGCGCGAAAGCUAGGGGAGCAAACGGG
rnacentral:rRNA from 1 species